UCACAAAGUAAGGUUGAUGUGUUGCUA
rnacentral:piRNA from 1 species